rnacentral:lncRNA from 1 species
UAGUGUGAAGGGUGUUUGGGCGUGUUUUCAUCAAUGGAGGAGGUAAUUGAGGGUUUGAUAAAAUGGGCUGUUCUAAGUGUAGAGUGAAACCAUAAGUUCCUUUCUUGUUUCAACAAUGGAUCCUUCUGAUUUCUCCAUAAAAAAAAUGGUAAAGUUUCUUGCAGAGAAAAGAGCAGAGGUUAGGGCCUAGGGAGAGCCAAAGGUAGCGACAUGAUUGUUUUAAAUUAGCAACAGUAAGUUGAUAUUACCAUACAAUUUCAAGACUCGCUUC